rnacentral:rRNA from 1 species
UGGGGAAUAUUGGACAAUGGGCGCAAGCCUGAUCCAGCAACGCCGCGUGGAGGAUGAAGGUCUUCGGAUCGUAAACUCCUGUCAGACGGGACGAAGGGUCGUGGGUGAACAAUCCACGUCUUUGACGGUACCGUCAGAGGAAGCCCCGGCUAACCCCGUGCCAGCAGCCGCGGUAAGACGGAGGGGGCGAGCGUUAUUCGGAAUUACUGGGCGUAAAGGGCGCGUAGGCGGCCAUCUAAGUCAGACGUGAAAUCCCCCGGCUUAACCUGGGAACUGCGUCUGAUACUGGACGGCUUGAGUAUGGGAGAGGGAUGUAGAAUUCCAGGUGUAGCGGUGAAAUGCGUAGAUAUCUGGAGGAAUACCGGUGGCGAAGGCGGCAUCCUGGACCAUUACUGACGCUGAGGCGCGAAAGCUAGGGGAGCAAAC